rnacentral:lncRNA from 1 species
UCCGCUGGGGGAACGAGGUGCUCCGGAAGAGGAUCCAGCCCGGCGAUACUGAGGCCAAGGUCAGCCUGGUGAUGCUCAGGCGGAUCAAAAGGUAGUGUUUUCUUUCCUUAGCUAUCCGUAUCACAUAAAUGUGUUCCUAUUUGCUCAUGCAGACUUAUUAAUCAGUGGGAUUGUGAUGAGUAAAUGCUUCAAGGUUUGGGCACAUCACUGUUCAUAGUUAGAUUGUAUUACUUGUUUAAAUCGUGAUGCAAAGUGCGAUCAUGUGUAUCUUAUUUCGAUUCAAAGGUAGUACUGUCUUUCUUAGAUUUCUCAUACCAAGUGUGUUUUUGAUUUGCAGUCAUGAAGAAUUAUCAGUAUAAUUUGUGUUGUAGGAGGAAAUUCUUCAGGCUUUGAGCAUGUCAUAGUUCAUAGUUAGAUUAGAUUAGUAGUUUAUAAAUCGUGCUGCGAUGUGCCAUCAUGGGUAUCUCGUUUCCAUUCGAUGUUUUUUCAGUUGUGCUAAAUAUCUUUAUGAUUAGUACGGAUAAUCUCCCCAAAUUAUACACGCAAUCGUUCUGACACUGGAACUUUUUUGACUUGCUCUGCUAUUUGGCAUCGCUGGUGCCAUGUUAAACUUGGCUGGUUAUUCCUGUUCUGUAUGGUGAUUCGUGAAUUAUAGCUAUGGCUUGAUGCCGUGAUUGCAUAUCAUAUCAUAUAGGAAGAAUCGCAAGCACUCAUGUCGAAAGACUCGGUGAUUGUAGACAACUGCAUUUUGAUGAAUUUUGCAACUGGACUUAGCAAUCGAGGCGAGUUCUAUAUCUAAUUACCUUACAUUUAUUGCAUCAAGCAAAGAAUAGUAGGAGAGCGCUCUACUGGAAUAUAUCGCUUCCACUAUUUUAGUUAACCCGGUUAUCCUUAUGCUGCUUGUUCAGGGAGUUGUCGAGAAUGUGAAGUUGAAGCAUGAGAGACAUCAUCAUCAUACUUUAUCUUCUUGUAUUUCAGGUGGCACCUAGGUUUGGAGAGAUGGACAUGGUGAUUGAUAGGGAUUUCAGUGGGAGUAAGACAUACGACUCUGUUACCUGUGGGAGGACCCAAGGCUAGCUGUGUGUGGUUCCAAUGUUAGGUUCAGAAAAUUCAGGAAUUGUUUUGCUGAAUGUAAGGGCCAAAUCUGUAAUACUGAUGGCUAUGGAUGGAUGGAUGCUUUGGCAAAAGCAAGGCCAGAUGCCACUGCAUACCAGAACUACCGAAAUUAGACAUGUCGUUUACCUUGUCCAUGCUACCUUCAGUCAGGUACCAUGAAAUGGUUUUUUCUUCAAAUUUUCCCAACAAAUUUUUAUCAUUUCAUAUGACGAGAGGAAGCAAUACAUUUCCCUUUUACGCAGCUUACUUUGGUUGAUGCUGCUCCUAUCGCUUAUCUACCCUUUGCCUUUGAAGGGGAAAAUAUGCCCAAAGAAGUUAAUGAAAGUUUAAAUUUGAGCCUCUUGCUUGAAUCUAAGAUUCAGUUUUCUAAUGAUGUUAUGAUUUUUUUAACAUGCUCUCUGGUUCUUCUCCAGGACAUAGAUGAAGAUUCACUGAAAAAGGUCAUUUCAAAAUUAUUCUAUGAUGUACACAGACUUGAGAGUGGAGAACAACUUAUUUUGAGAUGUUUAAAACAAGUG